rnacentral:lncRNA from 1 species
UUAUCUGUAUCAACAUUCAAACCACAAAUUUCUUAGAUGUUACGAUGUUAUCUAAGUUAGGUAUGUGUUAUCAUUUGUCAUUUUUUUUGUUGAUUUGAUGGAUUAAGCUGUAGAAAUGAGUUGAUUUUUGUUGUAUUAUGGUUAAUUAUUGAUUAAUUGUUUGAAUGUGUGGAUUUGUUUGGAUGUUUGUUGAUUUUUAUGUGAAUUUCAUAUCUGAAACAUGGUGUUGCAUGUGUGAUUGUAUGUGAAAAUUGGGGGUUUUGGUGGAGAGUGUUUGAAUUAAGGAAUUCUAAUGGAAAUUAGUGUAGAAAAGAGAAUAAUCACCUUAGAUGAAGGGAGUGGUAAGUGGAGUAAUCACCUUAUAUGGAAAAAAGUGUUGGUUUGAGGUAGUCCGCAUUGAAGAUGAACCAAUUGUUCAGUAUGAAUAGGUUUAGUUUAGUUCUAACUUCACUACAAUCACUAUCUUACCAUCAGAUCGCCAAUCGCUCAACGAAAGGGCAUCUUCUUCAUUCUACAUUCUAAAUUCAUUCAAUUCGUAAUUUAUUUCCACUAAUUAUAUCUCCACAUUUUCAAUUUUCUUUUGAAUGUUUUUUUUAAGAUUAGGGCUUUUGUUCGAGAGAUCAAAUUGGCGUACAGUUCGAAAUUCUUAUUUAAUGGAGGUCGCAGCCAGCGUCGCGUCCUCACGUUGCGUUUCUCUUCUGACGCCUUCUUUAUAGUUUUCCCAUAAAGAGUGGUGCGCUGUUUCUGAACAUCCUGUUCGAAACUCUGGCGACGAGGUAAUGCUUCACUCAACUUGCUUGUAUUGUUUCUUUUUUUCUCUUCAGUCUUAGAUGUUAGGUUGUUGUUAUCUGUUUAUCUAUAUAUCUUGAGGUUUAGAUACAAAGUUUGUGUUAUAUAGGAUUUGGAGCGAUUUAAGUUAGGGCGAUUGGAUGAGAGAUUAACAUAUGAGGUAAUUCAUGUUCCUUGAGGUCUUUGGUCCAUCUCUCCAUCGAUCCACU